GCAGCGGUAGUUCAGUUGGUUAGAAUACCGGCCUGUCACGCCGGGGGUCGCGGGUUCGAGUCCCGUCCGCUGCGCC
rnacentral:tRNA from 1 species